GACGAACGCUGGCGGCAGGCCUAACACAUGCAAGUCGAGGGGCAUCAUGGCGUAGCAAUACGCUGAUGGCGACCGGCGCACGGGUGCGUAACGCGUAUGGAACCUACCCACCGCAGGGGGAUAACCCGCCGAAAGGCGGACUAAUACCCCAUGGUUCCCCGACCCUGCCUGGGGUUGGGGGUAAAGCCUACGGGCGGCGGUGGAUGGCCCUGCGUGCCAUUAGCUGGCUGGUGGGGUAACGGCCCACCAGGGCGACGAUGGCUAGGGGGUCUGAGAGGACGAUCCCCCACACUGGUACUGAGACACGGACCAGACUCCUACGGGAGGCAGCAGUGAGGAAUAUUGCGCAAUGGGGGCAACCCUGACGCAGCAACGCCGCGUGAGUGAGGAAGGUUUUCGGACCGUAAAGCUCUGUCGAGCGGGAAGAAAUGUAUCAUGGCUAAUAUCCAUGAUACUUGACGGUACCGCUAAAGGAGGCACCGGCUAACUCCGUGCCAGCAGCCGCGGUAAA
rnacentral:rRNA from 1 species